rnacentral:rRNA from 1 species
CAAACGACUCUCGGCAACGGAUAUCUUGGCUCUAGCAUCGAUGAAGAACGUAGCGAAAUGCGAUACUUGGUGUGAAUUGCAGAAUCCCGUGAAUCAUCGAGUCUUUGAACGCAAGUUGCGCCCGAAGCCAUUAGGCCGAGGGCACGUCUGCCUGGGCGUCACGC